rnacentral:rRNA from 1 species
UACGUAGGUGGCAAGCGUUGUCCGGAAUUAUUGGGCGUAAAGCGCGCGCAGGUGGUUUCUUAAGUCUGAUGUGAAAGCCCACGGCUCAACCGUGGAGGGUCAUUGGAAACUGGGGAACUUGAGUGCAGAAGAGGAAAGUGGAAUUCCAAGUGUAGCGGUGAAAUGCGUAGAGAUCGGGAGGAACACCUGUGGCGAAGGCGGCCGGCUGGGGGUGCCCUGACGCUGAGGCGCGAAAGCGUGGGGAGCGAACCGG